GACCCGCAGAUCCGGCGACCCGCGGACUUGGCAUGCGCCGACAGGCAGGGCAGGACCUCACCUCGGCGGGGCAGCCGCCCCAUACGCCGUAGCGCCUUUUGAGGCGCUCCACCAUCAGGUCCUGCCCGGGCGGCUUCACCACCCUCGGCUCCAUGGCCGCGGCCGCCGUCGUCUCCCUGGCAACGGCGCGCGGCCGGGCGGGGCGGGCGCAGCGGAUUUGCGCCGUGACGCACGGCGCGCCGCGCCGCCGACGUCUCCCCGACGAAAGCGCGGCCGCUGGCGCAGGUCCGUGCUCGCGGGCCGUGGGGGCGCGUUGCGGGCCGGUGCGCGGGUCUCUCCUGUUUUCCUUUCCUUCCCGAGGGUCGCGCCGAGGGGCAGCCCGCGCGGGUCCGUCUCAUAAGCGCUCGAACCCAUCGGAAGCAGCUGUGAGACACUAAUCUUGGAGAAGUCGGUUUCGGCCAAAGCAUCCGUUACCAAGCUUCAGGUUCAAGGCAUUAAAAAUACGAACCGUUUUAGGCUGAAAGUUCUUGUGGGGACAGAAGCUGGGGCUGUGGAAAUGCUAAAGAAGUCUAAAGAAAAUCAAAAAUCCCCAAACCGGAAAGUAGCAUUUGAGUGUAGAGCUCACCAGCAUAAUCUGAGGCAGUCCAAACUAAAGCAUUGUUGGAAACAUUCAAGGGUUUCAGUUCCAUUGUUUUGGUGAUGACGUGGUUUGCACACACUUUGAGCACCUGGUCUCUUCUCAUCAGGACCCGGUAGUAAUUCUUCAUCGUGUGCCAGAGGAUCUUCAUGUCUCCAACCCCACGCUCCUUCCACUGACUGGCCUCUCGAUCCCACCUGUAAAGUUUGGCUCUCUCUUUAAAUAAAAUUUCU